rnacentral:rRNA from 1 species
GACGAACGCUGGCGGCGUGCUUAACACAUGCAAGUCGAACGGAAAGGCCCUGCUUUUGUGGGGUGCUCGAGUGGCGAACGGGUGAGUAACACGUGAGUAACCUGCCCUUGACUUUGGGAUAACUUCAGGAAACUGGGGCUAAUACCGGAUAUGAGCUCCUGCGGCAUGGUGGGGGUUGGAAAGUUUCGGCGGUUGGGGAUGGACUCGCGGCUUAUCAGCUUGUUGGUGGGGUAGUGGCUUACCAAGGCUUUGACGGGUAGCCGGCCUGAGAGGGUGACCGGCCACAUUGGGACUGAGAUACGGCCCAGACUCCUACGGGAGGCAGCAGUGGGGAAUAUUGCACAAUGGGCGGAAGCCUGAUGCAGCAACGCCGCGUGCGGGAUGACGGCCUUCGGGUUGUAAACCGCUUUCGCCUGUGACGAAGCGUGAGUGACGGUAAUGGGUAAAGAAGCACCGGCUAACUACGUG